AAAGAGCGUCAUCCCUGCAGGGGCGUGGCAUGGUUGGACGGACAAUGACACGCGGUUAGAUGAUUUACUUCAGUCUCUGCUUCAGUCUUGAAGCUGCCUCGUCUCCAUAUCCCUUGUGUACAUUUUUUGACGACUUGGAAGGGGAAGCAUGUGGAGAAGUGAGGACAAAAGUGCAAUGUUGCUCAUUAAAAUCUGGAGAUGUGUGGGGAUUGUAUGCCUUUUGUCCCUGCAAAUACAAGGACAAUGUACAAAGCCAGUCCCCAGUGAAAAUGCUGUUUUACAUGAGGAUCACAGCUCGCUAAUCAGUUUUCCAGAAAAUUCUUCUGUAAGAUUCAGUUGUUUUCCUGGGUACCAGCCAGCAUCAGGGUCGCGAUCGGUGGUGUGUCAGGGCGGCCAGUGGAACCCAAACCCAAAGGAUUUCACCUGUAAAAAAAAGACCUGUGGAAACCCAGGGGAAGUGAAAAAUGGUGUAUAUAACAUGCCUGAGGGAGUUGACUUUGGUGCAGUUGUCACAGCCAUCUGCAAUGUGGGGCACUACUUGGUGGGAGAAGGCCAGAGAACAUGCUUGGCAGAUGCGACAUGGAGUGGACGUGAGGCUGUUUGUGAAGUGGUGAAAUGCGAUUCUCCUCCAAAGAUUGACCAUGGUCAACUUGAGUCCACCUCAGAUGAGUAUAAGUUUGGAGAUGUGGUGCACUACGUCUGCGAUAAGGGGUACGACCGAUUUGGAAAUCCUGAAACACACUGCUCUCAGAAUGGAACAUGGACUGCAGCUCCCAGAUGCAAAUUGGUGGAUUGCCCGAAGCCAAACAUAUCAAAUGCCAGACGUAUUUUUGGAACUAGCGGUCCCUAUGGCAAAGGGGCUACCCUUGAGUACGAGUGCCAUAAACUGUUCAAGAUGGUUGGUGAAGCCAGAAUAGUCUGUGGGGAGAAUGGUUGGUCUCCAGCAAUUCCAAGAUGUGAAGCACUUCCUACCACCACUACCCCACGAAUGACAGUGAAGGAAACCACCACACCUAAAGAGACAGGCAGGCAGGCUUCGUAUCUGGUUUCUAAUGCCAAAGUGGAUAUAGAAGACAGCAAUCAUACCUGACCCUGACCAUUGCUACUUGGACUAGUCAGCUGGGGAAAACGGAGCAGGGUCAACUCAUCAUGUCCAUAACUCUCUGUGGAUUGUGUUGGCAGUAGUGGUGGGAGUUGCUGUUCAAAAUGGUCUAUUCUCUCUGAUCCAGUAAGCCUGUUCCUACUAUGGAGUUGAGAGGAAAGAGAUGAUUGGUGUGUUUCCUGGCUCUGUGUGAGAAUGGACUCCAGGACCGCCCUUGCUUCAAGUAUUGCCAGCUUUGAGCUUCUGAGAGAUGGCUCUGUCUGAACUCUGCUUGAUUCUUAGAUAAAUUACCUUUAAAUACUGAAUUGCACUGAGGUCCUGUCUAUCAGAUACUGUGCCUUUGGGUGGGGGUGGUGGUAUGUGUAAAAUGUAAAAUGUAAGAAUGUAAAAUGUAAGAAUGUGAAAUGCCUUUGUUGAAAUUUUAUAUGGAUUGUCUUUAACAUACAAUUUAAGUAAAACGUUUUAAGUUAAACGUUUAGUUUUAAUUGUUUAAAUUAUUGGUGAAAUAAUGAUAAUUUAUUGAAAAGGGUAGGGGGGGGGGGGUGUAAGAAUGAAAUGCUUUUGUUGAAAUUUAUAUGGAUUGUCUUUAAAUGUUUAACUUAAACUUAAAUUGUUCAUUUUAAUUGUUAAAUUCUUGAUUAAAUGAUUAUUUAUUGGAAAGGGCAGGGCUCAAACACAGUUUUAUCACAUUUUAGAUUUUCAUUUUACACUUACAUUAAGUUUGGGUUUCUGAGUUGGAAAAAUGUUGUUUUUUAAAAUAGAUAAAUAAUUGUUACAGUAUAUAGUGCCAUAUGAAGGAACAGUAUUGUUGUGCUCACCUGACCACUUGUAAAAUGACUAAUAAAAGCACUGCUUUCAAAAAACAA